UACGAAGGUGGCAAGCGUUACUCGGAAUUACUAGGCGUAAAGGGCAGGUAGGCGGUCUCGUUAGUCUGUUGUGAAAGCUCCUUGCUUAACGGGGAGAGGCCAACAGAUACUACGAGGCUUGAGUAUAGGAGAGGGUACUGGAAUUCCCGGUGUAGCGGUGAAAUGCGCAGAUAUCAGGAGGAACACCGGUGGCGAAGGCGGGUCUCUGGGCCGAUACUGACGCUGGGGAGCGAAAGCGUGGGGAGCAAACAGG
rnacentral:rRNA from 1 species